rnacentral:pre_miRNA from 1 species
UGAGAAGUGAAGGGAUGUGUUUUGUGGAUGGGAGUCUUGAGGAGUGGGAGCAUAGGAUAAGGCUGCUUCAUAUCACCAGUCUUUCCUACUCCUCCCAUUCCUAUUGCCUUCACCACACAUCCCUUCCCAA